rnacentral:rRNA from 1 species
AAUCAACGCUGGCGGCGUGCCUCAGACAUGCAAGUCGAACGCGAAAGUUUCCUUCGGGGAGCGAGUAGAGUGGCGCACGGGUGAGUAACACGUAGGUAAUCUACCUUCGGAUGGGGAAUAACAAUCGGAACGGUUGCAAUACCGCAUAAUGCAGCGGCACCUAAUGGUGACAGUUGUUAAAGCGGGGGAUCGUAAGACCUCGCGUCUGAAGAGGAGCCUGCGGCGGAUUAGCUUGUUGGUAAGGUAAUGGCUUACCAAGGCGACGAUCCGUAACCGGCCUGAGAGGGCGGUCGGUCACACUGACACUGACAUACGGGUCAGACUCCUACGGGAGGCAGCAGUCGGGAAUUUUGGGCAAUGGGCGAAAGCCUGACCCAGCAACGCCGCGUGAAGGAUGAAAUCCCUCGGGAUGUAAAACUUCGCAAGAACGGGAAGAAUAAGCGAGAGUUAAUAUCUUUCGUGAUGACGGUA